CUACGGAGGGAGCAAGCGUUAUUCGGAAUCACUGGGUUUAAAGGGUGCGUAGGCGGCCAUAUUAGUCAGUAGUGAAAGGUUGCAGCUUAACUGUAAGACUGCUAUUGAAACUGUAUGGCUCGAAUUAGGAUGAGGUAGGCGGAAUGUGACAUGUAGCGGUGAAAUGCUUAGAUAUGUCAUAGAACACCGAUUGCGUAGGCAGCUUACUAGACCUAUAUUGACGCUGAGGCACGAAAGCGUGGGGAGCGAACAGGAUUAGAAACCCCGGUAGUCC
rnacentral:rRNA from 1 species